GACGAACGCUGGCGGCGUGCUUAACACAUGCAAGUCGAACGGAAAGGCCCUGCUUUUGUGGGGUGCUCGAGUGGCAAACGGGUGAGUAACACGUGAGUAACCUGCCCUUGACUUUGGGAUAACUUCAGGAAACUGGGGCUAAUACCGGAUAGGAGCUCCUGCUGCAUGGUGGGGGUUGGAAAGUUUCGGCGGUUGGGGAUGGACUCGCGGCUUAUCAGCUUGUUGGUGGGGUAGUGGCUUACCAAGGCUUUGACGGGUAGCCGGCCUGAGAGGGUGACCGGCCACAUUGGGACUGAGAUACGGCCCAGACUCCUACGGGAGGCAGCAGUGGGGAAUAUUGCACAAUGGGCGGAAGCCUGAUGCAGCAACGCCGCGUGCGGGAUGACGGCCUUCGGGUUGUAAACCACUUUCGCCUGUGACGAAGCGUGAGUGACGGUAAUGGGUAAAGAAGCACCGGCUAACUACGUG
rnacentral:rRNA from 1 species